AUUGAACGCUGGCGGCAUGCCUUACACAUGCAAGUCGAACGGCAGCACGGGAGCAAUCCUGGUGGCGAGUGGCGAACGGGUGAGUAAUGUAUCGGAACGUACCUUUCAGUGGGGGAUAACGUAGCGAAAGUUACGCUAAUACCGCAUAUUCUGUGAGCAGGAAAGCAGGGGAUCGCAAGACCUUGCGCUGAUUGAGCGGCCGAUAUCAGAUUAGCUAGUUGGUGAGGUAAAGGCUCACCAAGGCGACGAUCUGUAGCGGGUCUGAGAGGAUGAUCCGCCGCACUGGAACUGAGACACGGUCCAGACUCCUACGGGAGGCAGCAGUGGGGAAUUUUGGACAAUGGGCGCAAGCCUGAUCCAGCCAUGCCGCGUGAGUGAAGAAGGCCUC
rnacentral:rRNA from 1 species